GCAUCUGUGGUUCAGUGGUAGAUAAUCGCCUGCCACGUGGCCGGCCCGGGUUCGAUUCCUGGCCGAUGCA